rnacentral:rRNA from 1 species
AUGGAUUCCGACGUCGUCGCUAUCUCUCGAGAAUCAAACUCCUCAUCUGAUGCCAUCCGGCUCAUCGUACAGAGCAUCGACGGCAAGAUGAACGUGGUCGUGGCGGGUCCACAGGACACUUUAGGGGAGGUGCUCGGUCGCUUCGUGGACGUGGGACCCAGGAGGAGAAGUGACCUCCACGCCGUGCACGAGUGUCGGAACCUCCACCUUAAGGCGAAAAUCGGCGAGCUCGGCCUCCCGCGCGACGCCACUUUGCACUUAACCAGAUAUCCCGACGCAUGGAGCCUCGCAUAUCAGAUUGCCGCGGCGGCAACAACCGACGCGGACAUCUCUAACGAAACUGCCGAGUUGUUCAAGAGGUUCAUACACGACGGUGAAGUCCAAAUUGAUCCACUGGCGCGGCAUCUCGGUGUCCCCAACUGCUCACCGUGGACCGACUUUGAGCAUGUCACCAAGAUGCUUUACACCAGGGACAUCGUCCUGCUCGUCAAGAAGUUCCUCGCCGGUGCCAAAGCCACCAACGAGAGACAAGCAGGGACGGCCGUGGAGUACCUGGACGUCCUCCUGCGCAGCGGUGUCAUCGGGGUUCUGGUCCGCCUCUACUCCACCGGCUCUAUGCCGCAUCACUUAAGAGCCAAUUCGGCGAUCAUCUGCCUCCUGUAUCCGGAGAUAAGCGGCAUACUCCCUCGCCUUGAGGUGUGCUUUCUCCCACUCUUGUUGGAGUUCUGUCGGUUGAUACCCGUCGCCUCCGGCAAAGGCAGAAGCGACCCGCUCUACGAGAAGUGUAGGCACAGGCUGGCGGCAGUGCUCUCUUUGUUCGAGCGGACGCCGUCGCUACGCAUGCCGAAGAUGCCUCAAGAGUGGUUGAUCGAGCAGUUAAUACCAAUUGCCAAAGACGUGACGGACGUGGUCAUUCGCUACAUGGCAGCAGGGGUGGGCGGCCCCGGAUGA